rfam:Phlebia centrifuga strain FBCC195 PHLCENscaffold_2971, whole genome shotgun sequence.
GGGCACUUGGCACAGUGGUAGCGCGCCUGCUUUGCAUGCAUGAGGUCGUGGGUUCAACUCUCACAGUGUCCA